rnacentral:lncRNA from 1 species
GAUACCUGAGAAAGAGCAGCCGGCCUCAGUCACUUCCUCCGGUGGAUGCCAGAGGCCAAUUUGGAUAAUAGCAGAGCCACCUUGUUCCUUUCCUUUGUUCCAAAAUGUGGUGCCUGGGUAGGAAAAAGCCCCACACCAUUCAUGAUGUUAACAAUAGCAGCAUUAACAGUCAUUGGACUCCCACCGAGUGUGUUAUUCUUUAAAUUAGAACCCAUGAAUAUAAUGAGAUGGAUUUUCACAGGAACAAGGGCAGGCUGAAACAAAGAGGUCAAGGCUCAAUUGGAAUAAUCUGGAGAAGCUUUUCUACAAUGUCUACACUCCAGGGCCCACACCUGCCAAUGAAAUCUGUACCUUAAACCUGAAGAGGACCAGGUAUCAAUAUUCUUUGAAAAGCAGCCCAGAUGAUGCAGCUAGGUAGGUGUGGGAUUAACAGCACAGCCGGGAAGUUUCAAAUUGGAAGCACUUCAGAAACUGUCAUAUGCGAGAAAGAUGGUAUCUCAUUCAGACCGACCACCAUUUCCCAAAGAUUUCUCCCAGAUCACUACUUCCUCAAGAUGCCCAGAGAACAUAAUUCUGUGACCAAAUGCGUAUGAGAAAUGCUGCCAACUGCUGACUCCUAUCUUUGAGACUUAUCUACGUAGUGCUUUUAGUGCUUUUUUGUUAUGACCUUGGCUCACUGCAGCUUCACCCUCCUGGGCUCAAGCGAUCCUUCCACCUCAGCCCUUCAAGUAUCUGGGACUACAGACACCUGCCACCAUGUCUAGCUAAUUUUUGUAUUGUUUGUAGAGAUGGAGUUUCACCAUGUUGCCCAGGCUGGUCCUGGUCUGAAACUCCUGAACUCGAGUGAUUCUCCAGCCUCAGCCUCCCAAAGUGCUGAGAUGACAGGUGUGAGCCACUGUGUCUGGUCUGUAGUGCAUCUUAAUGUCUCUGAGAAAACCUGUGACCAAGAAAACUAUUACCUCGGCUUAAUCCAGUAAUUUUCCAGGAAAGCUGCUUUUUUAUUUCAUAGCACCUAACACCCUGUGGACCUCCAGAAAUGGUGAUUCACGAUGAGGAGGAAGAGUACUGAGCCCUGUCAAGGGCAGCAUUGGGUGAGGAGCCUCUCAAUUACAUGUUAGGAAGUGAAGACACCCAGACCUCGGAUUCCAAUUUUGAUGCUUCAGUUUUAAAAUGGUGGGGGGUGAGGGGCUGAUGGAGAAGAGUCUUUAUGGACACAAAUGGACCAGGGUGCUUUGACCUUUUGUUCUGUGGUCUCCUCACUUAUUAGGUCACAUAACCUUCAGUGGGCUACAUAAACCUCUUUUCUCAUCUUUAGCAGAACAAAAAUCUGUGGUCUGGGCUUAGGGGCCAGUUGGACUGGGCUUUGGUCAUUGAUUCGCGCUGGUCUUUGAAAUGUGAGUGGAAGGGACAGACAGGUGUUGAGUCCAAGCAGAAGCCUUCGAUGUUCUUGUGUGGCUUGGCUCUGCCUCUGUGCUUCUCCCUCCUCCUUGAGAACAAUAUGCCCCACAUGGGAGCUGCUCCUUUAGCCAGGCCUCCAGGACCAGAGGACAAAUGGGGCUGAGCACAACCAAGCCCAGCUGAGCCAGGUCAGGGUUCAAUGUAGCCUGAACAUGAAAUAAAUGUUUAUAAUUUUAAACCAGGAAAAUUUUGGUAUAGUUUAUUAUAACAAACUGCAAUCUAUAAACCUGAUUUGGGUCUGAUUUAAAGAAACCAAACAACCUCUAAAAAUUAGGAGGUAAACAGGAAAACUUGUACACUGACGUUAAGAAAUUGAUGUCAUUUUUUUUUACAAGAUGUUAUAGGACUGUUUCACUUGUGUUUAGGUAAAGAAUCCUUAUCUUCAGUGAUCCACGCUGAAAUACUUAUGCAUGAAACGGUAUAAUGGAAGGACAGGAAAGUGGGCAGAGUCAUAAAUGAAGUAAGAAUGUCCAGGUGUUGAUAAUUAUUGAAGCUGGGUAACGGAUAAUUGGGGGUUUACCAUAUUAUUCAACUUUUGUUUAUGUUCAAAAUUUUCUCUGAUUAAAAAGCUAGAAAAUCAACAUUCACACAAACUCUUCUCCAUAGGUUGAAAAUAGGUGGAGUAUCUUGUUAGGAUUAUUAUAAUCUUUUAAUUUUAUAGCACUGCCAAUGAGCCAUCCCUGCCAUAAAAGAGUCAGCCAGAGAUAACUGGUGACUUCCACCACGUAAUUAUUAUCACCGUUUAUUUCAGUGGAAACUGCUGCCUGUUUGGAUUUGGAGAACACUAAGAAAGAGAAAUGAAGAUCUGGAGAAUUCAAAGGAUAAUUAUCCCUUUUGAAUAUUGACACACUUACAUGUUUUUCCAGACGUAGAUUUUGUGUAGGCGAAAGCUAUUUGAUUAUAAAAGAUCCGGUUUCU